rnacentral:rRNA from 1 species
CUUCCGGCGGGGGGCAACAGUCCGAAAGGAUUGCUAAUACCGCAUACGUCGGCGAGAUCUCCGGAUCUUGUCGGGAAAGAUGGCCUCUCCUUGGAAGCUGUCACCGGAAGAUGAACCUGCGGCCCAUCAGCUUGUUGGUGAGGUAACGGCUCACCAAGGCAAAGACGGGUAGCUGGUCUGAGAGGAUGAUCAGCCACACUGGGACUGCGACACGGCCCAGACUCCUACGGGAGGCAGCAGUGGGGAAUAUUGGGCAAUGGGCGAAAGCCUGACCCAGCCACGCCGCGUGAGUGAUGAAGGCCUUCGGGUCGUAAAGCUCUGUGGGGAGGGACGAAUAAGCCGGGUGCUAAUAUCACCAGGCCCUGACGGUACCUCCUUAGCAAGCACCGGCUAACCAUGUGCCAGCAGCCGCGGUAAUACGUGGGGUGCAAACGUUGCUCGGAAUUAUUGGGCGUAAAGCGCACGUAGGCGGUUUGUUAAGUCGGAUGUGGAAUCCCUCGGCUCAACUGAGGAAGUGCAUCCGAAACUGGCAAGCUUGAGUACGAAAGAGGGUCGCGGAAUUCCCGGUGUAGAGGUGAAAUUCGUAGAUAUCGGGAGGAACACCGGUGGCGA